CAAGUGAUGCUGCAGCCGGAUACAUUUUUAUUUUCCUCGAGUGCCGGACGAUUUUGCUCCCAGCCAACAACUGGUUGAGUGUUUCAGAAUGCCUUUAUUUUCCUCGCCAAUCGCAUCCAUUUUCCUGGUUGCAUGAGACAUGAAAGAUUGUUUGGCAACGCUGGAGGCACGCACAAAUAAGAAGAAUGCUACAGGGCAACAUUUAAUUCGAGACGAUGUUUUAUUAUGACUUUUGGUGGCAGUGUGCGCGCGACAGAAGAGCAUAAUCGCGUUGGAAGAGCAAAAUGAAAUCAACGUAAAAAGAGCCAUUUGGAGCUCAAUCAGUUGCAGUGGAGGGCCUUAGCAGAUAGCGCAGAG